UGGGGAAUAUUGCACAAUGGGCGCAAGCCUGAUGCAGCCAUGCCGCGUGUGUGAAGAAGGCCUUCGGGUUGUAAAGCACUUUCAGCGAGGAGGAAGGUGGUGAGCUUAAUACGCUCAUCAAUUGACGUUGCUCGCAGAAGAAGCACCGGCUAACUCCGUGCCAGCAGCCGCGGUAAUACGGAGGGUGCAAGCGUUAAUCGGAAUUACUGGGCGUAAAGCGCGCGCAGGCGGUUUGUUAAGUCAGAUGUGAAAUCCCCGGGCUCAACCUGGGAACUGCAUUUGAAACUGGCAAGCUAGAGUCUCGUAGAGGGGGGUAGAAUUCCAGGUGUAGCGGUGAAAUGCGUAGAGAUCUGGAGGAAUACCGGUGGCGAAGGCGGCCCCCUGGACGAAGACUGACGCUCAGGUGCGAAAGCGUGGGGCAGCAAACAGGAUUAGAUACCCUGGUAGUCCACGCUGUAAACGAUGUCGAUUUGGAGGUUGUGCCCUUGAGGCGUGGCUUCCGGAGCUAACGCGUUAAAUCGACCGCCUGGGGAGUACGGCCGCAAGGUU
rnacentral:rRNA from 1 species